rnacentral:rRNA from 1 species
UACGGGGGGGGCAAGCGUUGUUCGGUAUUACUGGGCGUAAAGGGCGCGUAGGCGGGUGGCCAAGUCUCACGUGAAAGCCCGCGGCUCAACCGUGGAAUUGCGGGGGAUACUGGGUGUCUUGAGUCCGGGAGAGGAGGGUGGAAUUCCCAGUGUAGCGGUGAAAUGCGUAGAUAUUUGGAGGCACACCGGUGGCGAAGGCGGGUCUCUGGGUCGGUACCGACGCUGAGGCGCGAGAGCGUGGGGAGCAAGCUGG